rnacentral:rRNA from 1 species
GACGAACGCUGGCGGCGUGCUUAACACAUGCAAGUCGAACGGAAAGGCCCUGCUUUUGUGGGGUGCUCGAGUGGCGAACGGGUGAGUAACACGUGAGUAACCUGCCCUUGACUUUGGGAUAACUUCAGGAAACUGGGGCUAAUACCGGAUAGGAGCUCCUGCUGCAUGGUGGGGGUUGGAAAGUUUCGGGGGUUGGGGAUGGACUCGCGGCUUAUCAGCUUGUUGGUGGGGUGGUGGCUUACCAAGGCGUUGACGGGUAGCCGGCCUGGGAGGGCGACCGGCCAAGCUGGGACUGAGACACGGCCCAGACUCCGACGGGAGGAAGCAGUGGGGAAUAUUGCGCAAUGGGCGGAAGCCUGACGCAGCGACGCCGCGUGGGGGAUGACGGCCGUCGGGUUGUAAACCUCUUUCGACCCCGACGAAUUUGGACGGUAGGGGUAGAAGAAGCACCGGCCAACUACGUG